rnacentral:rRNA from 1 species
GGGUUGUGAGGUUAAGCGACUAAGCGUACACGGUGGAUGCCCUGGCAGUCAGAGGCGAUGAAGGACGUGCUAAUCUGCGAUAAGCGCCGGUAAGGUGAUAUGAACCGUUAUAACCGGCGAUUUCCGAAUGGGGAAACCCAGUGUGACUCGUCACACUAUCAUUAACUGAAUCCAUAGGUUAAUGAGGCGAACCGGGGGAACUGAAACAUCUAAGUACCCCGAGGAAAAGAAAUCAACCGAGAUUCCCCCAGUAGCGGCGAGCGAACGGGGAGGAGCCCAGAGCCUGAAUCAGCAUGUGUGUUAGUGGAAGCGUCUGGAAAGGCGCGCGAUACAGGGUGACAGCCCCGUACACAAAAGCGCAUGUGUUGUGAGCUCGAUGAGUAGGGCGGGACACGUGGUAUCCUGUCUGAAUAUGGGGGGACCAUCCUCCAAGGCUAAAUACUCCUGACUGACCGAUAGUGAACCAGUACCGUGAGGGAAAGGCGAAAAGAACCCCGGCGAGGGGAGUGAAAAAGAACCUGAAACCGUGUACGUACAAGCAGUGGGAGC